rnacentral:misc_RNA from 1 species
GACAAGCCCAAGCAAAAGACUCUUGUUGUGAAAACAACGGCGGUGUAAGCGGCAGAUUGGACCGGCGUAAGCCCUCCAGUUGCCACGUACUCGGCUCAGAAUGAUGAUUGACCUACAAAUUCUUAUCUACAUUAUCUGAACAAACAUUGAAGAAGAACGUUUCUGACUGAAGACUCUGGCUGGCUACUUUUAGACAGCGACACUAUUUAUACAAGCACGCAAUCAAUCUGUUGACUCUAGCCCUUAAAUAGAUCCAUACUAGACACCGAGCUAGCCGUCUGACUACAAAGAGAACAAGGCGGUGAUCCCGGAGUCAGUAUUCAAUG